UGCCUUGCAAUGCGUCAUAAUUAUCUGGACUACUAACUUACUUCCAUAUAACUUCGAAAACAGACAAUAAUCUAUUUCAUUGGAUGAGAUUGGGCUCACGGAUUUUUUAAUGGAUUGGACAAGAAAUAUAGAAAAAUAUAAACAGUUACAAAAGAAAUGAGCGCAAAACAAGAUAAACAGAAUACAACAAGGCCUAAAUGGUCAGCUAUCUUGGUUUUUAUGAUCAUCAACAGGUCCUGCAGGUCUAUACUGAAGAGGAAUUUUAAUUGUUAAUACUUUUCUACAUAAUGUGCU